rnacentral:rRNA from 1 species
AGAGUUUGAUCAUGGCUCAGAUUGAACGCUGGCGGCAGGCCUAACACACGCAAGUCGAGCGGUAGAGAAGUGCUUGCACUUCUUGAGAGCGGCGGACGGGUGAGUAAUGCCUAGGAAUCUGCCUAGUGGUGGGGGAUAACGUUCGGAAACGGACGCUAAUACCGCAUACGUCCUACGGGAGAAAGCGGGGGACCUUCGGGCCUCGCGCCAUUAGAUGAGCCUAGGUCGGAUUAGCUAGUUGGUGAGGUAAAGGCUCACCAAGGCGACGAUCCGUAACUGGUCUGAGAGGAUGAUCAGUCACACUGGAACUGAGACACGGUCCAGACUCCUACGGGAGGCAGCAGUGGGGAAUAUUGGACAAUGGGCGAAAGCCUGAUCCAGCCAUGCCGCGUGUGUGAAGAAGGUCUUCGGAUUGUAAAGCACUUUAAGUUGGGAGGAAGGGCAGUAACUUAAUACGUUGCUGUUUUGACGUUACCGGCAGAAUAAGCACCGGCUAACUCUGUGCCAGCAGCCGCGGUAAUACAGAGGGUGCAAGCGUUAAUCGGAAUUACUGGGCGUAAAGCGCGCGUAGGUGGUUUGUUAAGUUGGAUGUGAAAGCCCCGGGCUCAACCUGGGAACUGCAUCCAAAACUGGCAAGCUAGAGUACAGUAGAGGGUGGUGGAAUUUCCUGUGUAGCGGUGAAAUGCGUAGAUAUAGGAAGGAACACCAGUGGCGAAGGCGACCACCUGGACUGAUACUGACACUGAGGUGCGAAAGCGUGGGAGCAAACAGGAUUAGAUACCCUGGUAGUCCACGCCGUAAACGAUGUCAACUAGCCGCUGGGGUUCCUUGAGGACUUAGUGGCGCAGCUAACGCAUUAAGUUGACCGCCUGGGGAGUACGGCCGCAAGGUUAAAACUCAAAUGAAUUGACGGGGGCCCCGCACAAGCGGGUGGGAGCAUGGUGGUUUUAAUUUCGAAGCAACGGCGAGAC